rnacentral:rRNA from 1 species
GAUGAACGCUGGCGGCGUGCUUAACACAUGCAAGUCGAACGAUGAAGCCCAGCUUGCUGGGUGGAUUAGUGGCGAACGGGUGAGUAACACGUGAGUAACCUGCCCUUAACUCUGGGAUAAGCCUGGGAAACUGGGUCUAAUACCGGAUAGGAGCGUCCACCGCACGGUGGGUGUUGGAAAGAUUUAUCGGUUUUGGAUGGACUCGCGGCCUAUCAGCUUGUUGGUGAGGUAAUGGCUCACCAAGGCGACGACGGGUAGCCGGCCUGAGAGGGUGACCGGCCACACUGGGACUGAGACACGGCCCAGACUCCUACGGGAGGCAGCAGUGGGGAAUAUUGCACAAUGGGCGCAAGCCUGAUGCAGCGACGCCGCGUGAGGGAUGACGGCCUUCGGGUUGUAAACCUCUUUCAGUAGGGAAGAAGCGAGAGUGACGGUACCUGCAGAAGAAGCACCGGCUAACUACGUG